AGCCACCGGGGACAAACCCUCCUCUCUUGCUGUACUGGCCCUCCUGCCAAUACCAACACGCAAAUGCUCUUAAGGGAAAAUCCGCCCAUUUCAAGUUGGCUUUGCAGUCUUCAGCUACCGUCGGUGGCGUUGAGAAUGAACCUCUUCCUCCAUACAGGGGAAGCUUGCCUGGUGCAGUCCUCGCCCAAGUCCGGUCAGCUCCUGCAGAUGAGAUCAUUGUUUAUCUAACAUGUCUUGGGAUGGGAAAGAGUUCCGUGAGUUUGCUCCAGGAUAGAUAGUGUCAGUUUGACGGAGGCUCGCUCUCACUCCAGUUUUCCUCCCACAUUCGGCUACAUCCAACAUCUUUUCCCUCUGCCCCUUCUGCUGUCAGCAGUGCUCUGUGACCAGCGUGGGGAGCAGUUGAACUGGCUCCACAUCCCCACCCGCUUGGGAGCUCAGUGAGCACAGAGGGGAGCUGAUGCAGCUGGACCACCACCUCUGGCAGCAUCUGACUCUGGCAGAAGGAGGAAGGACCCAGAAACAGCACCGAGGAGAAGGGCAGUUCUGAGACCAAAUAUCACAUUCAUGAAUUUUGAAAUUGAAAUGGAUGUUCACACACAAAUUUCAAUGCUACAGCCACAAAUUUCAUCCCAGCAGUAGGGAGGCAGACGCAGGUGGAUCUCUGUGAGUUCGAGGUCAGUGUGGUUUACAAAGUGAGUUCCAAGACAGUCAGAACUACAUAGAGAAACCUUGUCUUGAACCACCCCCCCAAAGAAAGAUAACACCUAAUUUGUACAUUUUCACAAUUGAAAAAUCAUAUCAUAAUUAAAUUGGAUGGUCACUCUUGCA